AGUAAGAUAAUAAGUAUAAACAUUUAGUAUAAAAAAUAAAAUGUCAAUCCAACGUCGCAGCUGCACUUGUUGUAGAGAGUUAACAGCCCAUCACUAUUACCAACUGGAGAGAACACAAAAUAUGCUUCAUUGAUCAUGGUGUAUAUGCAUAACCUUUGUAGGGUCGGCCCUGGUGUAUGGCCAGCGGGGUGACGGCCCUGGCCCACGAGAGAGAGGUUCAUGACAUAGUAUACAUGUACACUAUAGCCCAGUAAAAAAUAAGCAAAAUAAAUUAUAAAAGAAAGGGAAGAAGAAAGCUAGGCACAUAUUUCGAAAAUUAGUGAUCGAUCGGUGUUUGGUGCGAUGAUUCAAUUAACGAAACAUCACGUUGAGAUGCUUGUUUUACUUGGUCUGCUUGUCGCCUCGACACCUCAUGUCUCGUGCCCAGUAACCUUGUCGAAAUCAUCGUUUUGCAGUCCGGCCAUACGGCAUUGCUAGGCGUCUCAGCUGGUUUGUCGCGGUCGGCUCUGCGCCUGACGCCGACAGUUCAGCCAUCAACAGCAGUAGUAAUCAAUAGACUGUAGACGACAGCAGUACGAGCCGAAGCGAAUGAAGCCCGACCACUCGGCAAGAUCCAUUCAUCAGAAUCAGUUUCAACUGCAGUAAUUAACAUAGUACAUAUCCUUCAUCCAUCCAGGUAGUGGUUACGAUGGUGCGAGAUAGAUUGACCUCAACAUCAGUACUUUUCAGUAGUUUUAGUUGACCUCAACCAUGUAUUCAGCAGCAGUAUGUAACUACAUAUGAACGUAUCCAUGAUGGCAUGGUCCAUCCAUGUUCCAUUGUUCCUGGUCCAUGCCCCAAACCCUAAUUUGACAAUUUAGUAGUAUUAUUUUAUUCUUUAUUUAGUAUGUAUGGAUUCAACUAUUUAUCCAUAUAUGCCUAGCCGCUUAGAACAUUAGCCUUCCAUGUUGCCUAAAAGAAGAGAUUGUCG
rnacentral:lncRNA from 1 species